rnacentral:rRNA from 1 species
CCUGCGUMGGCGUACUGAGAACCCGAAGGUCGAAGCGGAGAUUCAACCGCGUACCCGUUAGAUCCGUCGUCCCGAUCGGCCGGCGACUGGCGGGCGCUCCGGCGCCCGCCGCGUACGGUCGGAGGCGCGCGGUCGCGGACGCGUGCAAUUCUCCGCUAGUAGGACGUCGCGACCCGUCGAGUGCCGGUCCACGGCCCGCUCGUGAGCCCGCGCGGCGGACGGCCUCGUGCCGUUCUCGCCCGCGCGGAACGACGCGGUGUCCCGGCCGGCCCGCUCGACGGUGUGCAGUGGCGGUGGGCCGCCGAAAAGGCGUCCGACCCGCCGCAAGCUCGGCGAAACCCCGCGGGCUCGGACCUAGUGUGCAGACCCCGGGGCCGUCCGGCUGUUGGCGGCGGAGUUCUCGGACAGACCCGGAACACGCCCGUCGGCGACGCUAUAGCUUUGGGUACUUUCAGGACCCGUCUUGAAACACGGACCAAGGAGUCUAGCAUGUGCGCGAGUCAUUGGGAUUCGUUGCUAAACCUAAAGGCGAAAUGAAAGUGAAGGCGCGCCUCGCGCGCGCCAAGGGAGGAUGGGCGAGGCUCACGAGGCCGUCGCCCCGCACUCCCGGGGCGUCUCGUUCUCAUCGCGAGAAGAGGCGCACCCAGAGCGUACACGCUGGGACCCGAAUG